UACGUAGGGUGCAAGCGUUACUCGGAAUUACUGGGCGUAAAGCGUGUGCAGGCGGUUAUGCAAGACAGAGGUGAAAUCCCCGGGCUCAACCUGGGAACUGCCUUUGUGACUGCAUAGCUAGAGUACGGUAGAGGGGGAUGGAAUUCCGCGUGUAGCAGUGAAAUGCGUAGAUAUGCGGAGGAACACCGAUGGCGAAGGCAAUCCCCUGGACCUGUACUGACGCUCAUGCACGAAAGCGUGGGGAGCAAACAGG
rnacentral:rRNA from 1 species